rnacentral:misc_RNA from 1 species
GUCAUGCCAUAUAAGGAUGAGCUACCAAAUUCUUGUUAUGGACAUACCGAGACAUACGAAGUUGAACAGGGUUCAAUCUUUGUGCGAGGGCCACCUUCUUCCAAUGUGUAUAGAGAGAAUAACUUUGCAUCUUCUAAAGGUAUAUCUUCUCCAUAUUCCCAUCCUGAAUUUACAAAGAGGGGCCUGGAAUCAGCUUCUGAAGGUGGAAAAAUGGUUCUGCUUUCGCAAGAUGGGUUCAGCAAUCCUCUUAUAAAUGUUGGAAUUUCUGAGUCGGUGGAACCAUAUAGGUCUGGUUCUUUUGGUUAUAGAACUGCUUUCAUUUCAAGGGCAUCUAUUGUUCCACAGUUAACUAGGGAUGAUAUUAAUGAGGGUGAAACUUGG